rnacentral:lncRNA from 1 species
UUUUUUAUUAUUAUUUAUUUAUUAUUUAAUAUCUUAUUUUUUAACUUAAGAUUAAUUAUUCAUUUAAUUUAUAGAGUUUAUUCGAUUUAUCAUUUUGUAUAUGUUUGAUUAAAUUAAUUUGUGCAUUUUCUAGUUUCUUAUAAACCAUUUUUAAAUUAUUUUCAUAAUUCCCUUCAUCCAUUAAUCAUCCUAAGUGCUAUAUUA